GGCGUGCGGGCAUGCCUACACAUGCAAGUCGAACGGCAACACGAGAGAGCUUGCUCUCUUGCUGGCGAGUGGCGGACGGGUGAGUAAUGUAUGGGAAUCUGCCCGAUGGAGGGGGAUAACUACUGGAAACAGUGGCUAAUACCGCAUAAUGUCUACGGGGGAAAGGGGGGGAUCUUCGGACCUCUCACUAUUGGAGCGGCCGAUAUGGGAUUAGCUUGUUGGUGGGGUAAAGGCCUACCAAGGCGACGAUCCGUAGCUGGUUUGAGAGGAUGACCAGCCACACUGGGACUGAGACACGGCCCAGACUCCCUACGGGAGGCAGCAGUGGGGAAUUUUGGACAAUGGGGGAAACCCCUGAUCCAGCCAUCCCCGCGUGUGUGAUGAAGGCCUUCGGGUUGUAAAGCACUUUUGACAGGGGAAGGAAAUGUGGUGAGGCUAAUAACCUCUGUAGAUGACGGUACCUGUAGAAUAAAGCACCGGCUAACUCCGUGCCAGCAGCCGCGGUAAUACGUAGGGUGCAAGCGUUAAUCGGAAUUACUGGGCGUAAAGCGUACGCAGGCGGCUAAUAGAGUCAGAUGUGAAAUCCCCGGGCUCAACCUUGGAACUGCAUUUUGAACUACCUAGCUAGAGUAUGUGUAGAGGGGGGUAGAAUUCCACGUGUAGCAGUGAAAUGCGUAGAGAUGUGGAGGAAUACCGAUGGCGAAGGCAGCCCCCUGGGAUAAUACUGACGCUCAGGUACGAAAGCGUGGGGGAGCAAACAGGGAUUAGAUACCCUGGUAGUCCACGCCCUAAACGAUGUCAACUAGCUGUUGGGGCUCUUAGCCUUGUCUCCCAGCUAACACGUGAAAUUACCGCCUGGGGAGUAUAGUGCUAGAUUAAACUCAAUAGUAAUUUCAGGGGACCCCCGCUAGCCGGGGAUGAAUUUUAUUAUA
rnacentral:rRNA from 1 species